rnacentral:rRNA from 1 species
UCCGACGUGGAUAACUGUGGUAAUUCUAGAGCUAAUACAUGCACCAAAGCUCUGACUUUUGGACGAGCGCAUCUAUUAGAUUAAAACCAAUCGGGCUUCGGCCCGUCAAUUGGUGACUCUGAAUAGCUCUGGCUGAUCGCAUGGUCUUGUACCGGCGACGUAUCUAUCAAGUGUCUGCCUUAUCAACUUUCGAUGGUAGUUUAUGUGCCUACCAUGGUUGUAACGGGUAACGGAGAAUAAGGGUUCGACUCCGGAGAGGGAGCCUGAGAAACGGCUACCACAUCCAAGGAAGGCAGCAGGCGCGCAAAUUACCCACUCUCGGAAUGAGGAGGUAGUGACGAAAAAUAACGAGACCGUUCUCUUUGAGGCCGGUUAUCGGAAUGGGUACAAUUUAAACCCGUUAACGAGAAUCUAUGAGAGGGCAAGUCUGGUGCCAGCAGCCGCGGUAAUUCCAGCUCUCAAAGUGUAUAUCGUUAUUGCUGCGGUUAAAAAGCUCGUAGUUGGAUCUGCGUCUUAGGACCUGGUCCGUCCAUUGGACGAGAACUGGGAACCUAGACUUCAUUGGCCAGUUUUCCCUAUGUUACCUUAAUUGGUUGCAUAGGGGUGGCGGGCAAGUUUACCUUGAAAAAAAUUAGAGUGCUCAAUGCGGGCUAAUGCCUGAAUAUUCGUGCAUGGAAUAAUGAAAUAGGGAUCUCGGUUCUAUUUUUGGUUGGUUUUCUGAUCUGAGAUAAUGGUUAAAGAGGGACGGACGGGGGCAUUCGUAUCGCUGCGUGAGAGGUGAAAUUCUUGGACCGUAGCGAGACGCCCGACUGCGAAAGCAUUUGCCCAAGAAUG